rnacentral:rRNA from 1 species
CACGUAUUUAGCCGUUCCUUUCUGGUAAGAUACCGUCACACACUGAACAGUUACUCUCAGUGCCGUUCUUCUCUUAUAACAGUGUUUUACGAGCCGAAACCCUUCAUCACACACGCGGCGUUGCUCCAUCAGGCUUGCGCCCAUUGUGGAAGAUUCCCUACUGCUGCCUCCCGUAGGAGUAUGGGCCGUGUCUCAGUCUCAUUGUGGCCGAUCAGUCUCUCAACUCGGCUAUGCAUCAUUGCCUUGGUAAGCCUUUACCUUACCAACUAGCUAAUGCACCGCGGGUCCAUCUCUUAGUGAUAGCAGAACCAUCUUUCAACCAACAACCAUGCGGUUGUUGGUAUUAUACGGUAUUAGCACUUGUUUCCAAAUGUUAUCCCCUGCUAAGAGGUAGGUUACCCACGUGUUACUCACCCGUUCGCCACUCUUUGUCAGAUAAAAUCAAAUUAGAGCAAGCUCGUCAGAUCAAUUAAAGACAAAGCGUUCGACUUGCA